UACGUAUGGUGCAAGCGUUAUCCGGAUUUACUGGGUGUAAAGGGAGCGCAGGCGGCACGGCAAGCCUGAUGUGAAAGCUCGCGGCCCAACCGCGGGACUGCAUUGGGAACUACCGGGCUGGAGUGCCGGAGAGGUAGGCGGAAUUCCUAGUGUAGCGGUGAAAUGCGUAGAUAUUAGGAGGAACACCAGUGGCGAAGGCGGCCUACUGGACGGUGACUGACGCUGAGGCUCGAAAGCGUGGGGAGCAAACAGG
rnacentral:rRNA from 1 species